GUGGGGCAGCUCAGAGCCUCGGGAACUACGGAACUAUCCUGCUCGCCUGUGCCUAUCCAGUCCCCAGAUGUGAGUACUUCAUUUAUGACGUUAAUCCCUACGAGUAUCUGAGGCAUCACAUGUAUCGCAGGCACAGCGUUAGUAGGUGCAUACUUUUAGCGACACAUGGCAGUGGUAUUAUUUCACAAUACCUUCGCGUCAGCAGAGAUGGUACUCAUUGUCCCGCGGACGAGGAGAAACAAAGCAGCAGGGCAUACUGGAGGUCCGGAAGUUGGAGCCCGUCACAGUUUAUUAACAUGGGAACCUUUAGAAAGCAAAUUGCCCGAUUGCACUUCCUGGACCUGAAGAACAGCUGCUUUUAAAGAAAAGUUUUAAAUCACUGGUUUGAAGAAAACAAUACCAGCAUAACCAUCAAAAAAAAAAAAUCACUGCUUCAAAAUUCACAAGAGAGCACCCCAAAGUGUUCCUUCCUCAGAACUGCCUGUGGCUGUGGGGCCUCAGUAAAUUUACAUUUGACAGACAAAGGGGAAACUUUUCCACGUUGCACAAAGAGAACUUUAUAAUCGGGCCUUCAGGCCGGGACUCCAGGGAUGCGCCUAGAAGUGGGCCAGGAGAUAAAUGCAGGGAACCCAGCCGAAGCCGCAGUCUCAGGCCGCCCUGCCUCAGGUAGCUGAAAUCUGAAACGCUUAUCACAGCAGUAAGAGAAAUUUGAUAAGGACCGGGCAGUGCCGGCCAGACUUACUCCCCUAGAACAAGAAAGAGAUUGACACUGUCUCAGUGCCAUCAAAGGGGAAAGGCAGGAGCGGGUCGCUUUUCAGUCUGGGCAGAUAGUGUGGGAAGCCCUGUCCAGCCACUUGCUGACCUGCGUAGAGCAAAGUUGGGAAGGAAAAGAAAAGAUUGAAAGGAUGAAGUGUUUCUUUACUGUGGACCAAUGAAACCGAUCCCUUCUGUAACAGGAGGCAGGGAGGACACCCCGCUGGGUGUGUAAAUAUGCAGAACAGGGAUUGUUGCCCUGAUUGGUACCAAAGGGAACAAGUUUCUGUGAUGUUAGUUAUCACAAGAGAAUGGACUAAAC
rnacentral:lncRNA from 1 species